UACAGAGGGGGCAAGCGUUGUUCGGAAUUACUGGGCGUAAAGGGCGCGUAGGCGGCCUUCUAAGUCGAACGUGAAAUCCCCGGGCUCAACCCGGGAACUGCGUCCGAUACUGGAAGGCUUGAAUCCGGGAGAGGGAUGUGGAAUUCCAGGUGUAGCGGUGAAAUGCGUAGAUAUCUGGAGGAACACCAGUAGCGAAGGCGGCACUCUGGGCCGGUACUGACGCUGAGGAGCGAAAGCGUGGGGAGCGAACAGG
rnacentral:rRNA from 1 species